GGUAGUGGGGGAUAACGUUCCGAAAGGAACGCUAAUACCGCAUACGUCCUACGGGAGAAAGCAGGGGACCUUCGGGCCUUGCGCUAUCAGAUGAGCCUAGGUCGGAUUAGCUAGUUGGUGAGGUAAUGGCUCACCAAGGCGACGAUCCGUAACUGGUCUGAGAGGAUGAUCAGUCACACUGGAACUGAGACACGGUCCAGACUCCUACGGGAGGCAGCAGUGGGGAAUAUUGGACAAUGGGCGAAAGCCUGAUCCAGCCAUGCCGCGUGUGUGAAGAAGGUCUUCGGAUUGUAAAGCACUUUAAGUUGGGAGGAAGGGUUGUAGAUUAAUACUCUGCAAUUUUGACGUUACCAACAGAAUAAGCACCGGCUAACUUCGUGCCAGCAGCCGCGGUAAUACGAAGGGUGCAAGCGUUAAUCGGAAUUACUGGGCGUAAAGCGCGCGUAGGUGGUUCGUUAAGUUGGAUGUGAAAGCCCCGGGCUCAACCUGGGAACUGCAUCCAAAACUGGCGAGCUAGAGUACGGUAGAGGGUAGUGGAAUUUCCUGUGUAGCGGUGAAAUGCGUAGAUAUAGGAAGGAACACCAGUGGCGAAGGCGACUACCUGGACUGAUACUGACACUGAGGUGCGAAAGCGUGGGGAGCAAACAGGAUUAGAUACCCUGGUAGUCCACGCCGUAAACGAUGUCAACUAGCCGUUGGAAUCCUUGAGAUUUUAGUGGCGCAGCUAACGCAUUAAGUUGACCGCCUGGGGAGUACGGCCGCAAGGUUAAAACUCAAAUGAAUUGACGGGGGCCCGCACCAGCGGUGGAGCAUGUGGUUUAAUUUGAAGCAACGCGAAGAACCUUACCUGGCCUUGACAUGCUGAGAACUUUCCAGAGAUGGAUUGGUGCCUUUGGGAGCUCAGACACAGGUGCUGCAUGGCUGUUGUCAGCUCGUGUCGUGAGAUGUUGGGUUAAGUCCCGUAACGAGCGCAACCCUUGUCCUUAGUUACCAGCACGUUAUGGUGGGCACUCUAAGGAGACUGCCGGUGACAAACCGGAGGAAGGUGGGGAUGACGUCAAGUCAUCAUGGCCCUUACGGCCAGGGCUACACACGUGCUACAAUGGUCGGUACAAAGGGUUGCCAAGCCGCGAGGUGGAGCUAAUCCCAUAAAACCGAUCGUAGUCCGGAUCGCAGUCUGCAACUCGACUGCGUGAAGUCGGAAUCGCUAGUAAUCGUGAAUCAGAAUGUCACGGUGAAUACGUUCCCGGGCCUUGUACACACCGCCCGUCACACCAUGGGAGUGGGUUGCUCCAGAAGUAGCUAGUCUA
rnacentral:rRNA from 1 species